rfam:Onchocerca volvulus assembly O_volvulus_Cameroon_v3 genomic scaffold, OVOC_OM1a
GGUUUAAUUACCCAAGUUUACCCAAGUUUGAGGUAAUUGAAUGUUUCGGCCCAGAGUUUCGGCUGCUGUGGCUUGAAGUAAAAUUUUGGAACGUCCUGCAUUAGCGGGACAAC